AAACGACUAGCUCAUUGGGUAGAGCAUCUGACUGCCAAUCAGAGGGUCGUGGGUUCGACUCCCACGUCGUU
rnacentral:tRNA from 1 species